GUAACAACAGAAAGAACAGUAUGCUAACAGUAGUCAUAACGCAAAUCUAGGUUCUGUGACUCUGUGAAAAGGGACCUGUGCUCUCUCCCCUGGAAUGACCAUAGGGAAUACACCCCUGGCACUGAAAUCUCUUCAUUGCUGUCACUGUGUCUCUGGGCCAUAGGGAAUUUACUAUCAUGUUUUCCCUGUCAGACGAUCACCAUCUGGGUGGGGGCAGGAUAGAGAGCCCACCCUUAAUCUGCUCCUCACCUGCCUACAGCACUGGUGGAUCUAGCUUCCUCCUAGGACAGCUGCAGCCUCGGGAGCAGCUGAACAGCAUCACCUCCUUCAUGGAUGGCAGCACAGCCUCGUGGCUGGCCAAGGAACUCUGCAACUUCACCCACGAGCUGCGCUCCUGGCUGGGAACCUGAAGUACUCUGAUGGGAGUGGGGGGCCUCCCCUCCUGCCCUGCACUGAGAAGAAAUCCCCCAAUUCCUGCGUCUUGACUAGGAACCCCUGUGCUCCCACUAACAUGUCUGAUGUUUCCUGCUUUGUAGCAGGGCACUCGAGAUCUGAUGAGCAUUUAGGAAUACAGGUCCUGGCAGCUGUGUUCCUGAGGGAGAAUGAGAGAGUCCCUGCAGCUGUCCACCAGCUCAGCCCCACCUGGAGUGAGGAAUGCUGCUACCAGGAGACCUGCAAGAUUAUCCGUGCAUAUCUCCAAAUCAGGGCAACAGUUUGGAGCUGCCCAACCCAUGGCAUGGCAUCCCUUAUUCAGGACCACACCCAACUCCUAUUGAAGCCAGCAGACAGAUUUCCCCUGACAUCAGUGAGCAUUGCAUCAGACCCAUAGUUGCCACCACAUAUUUCUCAGCUGUUCUCUCACACCUCCCUGCUCGGCAGACCCUGCUCUUAUCAGAGACGGGCCGAGAAUGCUACACACUACGCCAAGUUAAUGCACACGUAGAUUUAUAUAAGAGCAGCCCUGACCUUGGGAAACCUCUGAUAAAGCUUAUACAGCAAACAGAAACUAAUGCUAGGAUCAGACUGCAGCUGGCAGGGAAUGGCCCUUUGCCUGGAAAUCACAGGGCUCCCAGAACUCUGAUUCACUUCAGUGGCAGGUGCAGGUGGCUUGGCACCUCUGAAAAUCAAACCUUUAAUGCUGGCCCCAGGGCGGGAGCAAUGGCACAGCCAUCCACCCAUCCUUAGUGUAAUACACAUCAGGUGGGUGAGCUCCUGGCCUGCCUGCUAGGGAAGCAGUUCUAGGCUCUGUUUGAUGGGGACAGGUGAGAGGUCCUGUGACAAAGCAGCACUUCGUCAUUCAGUCCCCAAAUGCCAGCUCAGAAUUCCAGCGCUGGGUGAUCACAGCAUUAGCUUCCUCAGAUUCCUCAGGCCACCCAGGAUUUAUUACAGGGAAGGGGUGCUUAUGUCAGCAUUAUUUAGCUAGGCACUACAUAUUAGCUACACCUCCCAGCAGAGAGAAGAGCUGGCAAAGGUAACUCUCUUCUGGAUCCUGUGCGAGAACGCCCACAUCCGCCAGCUCCACAUAGACAUGUUCUCAGCCACUUCCUGGACCACUUUGUCCCCCUGCAAUAGUCUCCUGAUUCUCAGGGUGGAUCUGGCUGCCUGGAGACAGGAUCCGACAGGUAAAACCUGGAGCAUCUGGCUGUCGGCUAUGGAAAGCCCCCAGGCAAGCUAUUUCCAGGGAGGGAAGGACUUGGCUGUGUCUGAAGGUACUAAUUGUCCCCAGGGCUGCCCCAGCAAGCUCAGAAGUCAGAGUGCUGCCAACUAUAACCAUCCCCUCCAGCUCUCAUCUCAGGAAUCCCAGCAGCCACACUGGCACCAGCCCUGAUCACAGGACAGAAUUUCCAAAGCAUCCUGGACAAAAGAACCAUGCAAGAGUGGAAGCCAGAUUUCCUUUAGUGUCUCCCUUCCCCCACUUUCCUCCCCAAACACACACAUACCUCUAGGGUUACCGACUGCUGUGGCACAGACCAGCAGGUGACAUACACUCUGGGAGCUCACCCACCAUCUCACCCCAGAGUUGUCUAACAGCAGAGGUCUGCCAGAGACAACCUCCAGCCCAACCUGCUGGAGUAACUCCCCAGCUGCCCCGCACCAUCCCUUCUUACUCAGUAACUACUAGUCACCUUGGUGGCAAUAAGAACGAAUAAAGCCUGAGGGACUCAGGCAGGUCACAAGGGAAAAGGACAAUGACUGAAAGACAUCGGCACUGGCUGGUAGCCAUCUUUACUACAGCCCAGCCUCCACACUCAAAAGCUGGAGGGAAACGACAGCCAGCUUGACCAAACGCAGCCUAUUUCUUCAGCCCUAUGGAAAGGCAGGGGAAAUGGUGGCCAUUUUGAAUAGGGAAGAAAUUCAUGAAUUUUAUUCCAUUUGAUACCCCCUCAGGUCUGCCAUGAACAUACCAACUGCCACAGACAGGCGAGAGGGAACUACAGGCAGAGAGACACAGCAAGGGAGCUAGGAAUUGAUGGGAUUACAAGGGUGUGUCACCCAUGUAUUUGAGGGUAGAACUGGGCCUUUACAGGCUCAGGACCAAAUUCUGCCCUGACCUAUGCCCCAUGCAAACCCGUAGAUGUAGGAGUCCAAGGGUGUGACUGUGGGAACAGUUAAGCCCAAGGUGGGUAUUGGACCCUCUAUCACCCCCGCUUUAGGAUCAGUAUGAACCUCCAACCCUUCACACCAAACCCCUUCUAAACCAGUGUUUACUUAAAUCCCUGUUUUUAUUUCCUUUCCCAAAGGGGAAUCCUGACAGUUCAAUCUGUAUUUUGAUUGAUUAAAAGCAUUCUAAGGUGCACCGUUAACGUUACCAUGGAAACACUGUGCAUGGUGUGAAGCAAGAUGGGGGGCAGGGGAGGGGGCACAACACUCCUGAGCCUUCCCUGUGGGACAGUGCCAGAGGAGGAGGAAGGAAAGGCUGAAGAGUGGUUGUUUUGUACCAAUCUGAGCCCAGGUGAAACUCUAGGCCUGCGAAGAUGCACAAGUUUGGAUAGCAGAUUAAGCUGUAACAAUCCUGAGGGAAGUGGACGGAGACUCAGUGGUUGGGAUGUCUCACACUAGGACCAAACACCAGGUGGUAUGCUGCAGAGGGAAUAGCCACGCACUGGGCUGAGGGACAUGGAAUGGACAAUCUAACAUAUCUGCUGGUUGUGACUUACACCUGCUUUUCCAGCGAGGCUCUGCAGCGG